AGCCACACGCCAUCGUCAUCCCUUUCCCACUUCAAGGACACGUCAUCCCCGCCGUCCACCUGGCCGUCAAGCUCGCCUCCCAAGGUUUCACUAUCACCUUCGUCAACACCGAAUACAUCCACCACAAGACCUCCUCCUCCGCUGGCGGAUGCGACGAGGACUUUUUCGCCGGCGUCAGGAAAUCUGGGUUGGAUAUAAGGUACAAAACCAUAUCGGACGGGUUGCCACUCCGGUUCGACCGGUCAUUGAACCAUGACCAGUUCAUGGCUUCUAUGUCCCACGUGUUCCCUGCCCACGUGGAAGAGUUGGUCGCCGGGAUGGUUGCCGCCGGUGAGGAGGAGAAAGUUAGCUGUUUGAUUACCGACACCUUCUUCGCGUGGCCGUCAAAGGUUGUCAAGAAGUUCGGAUUGGUUUUCGUUUCGAUUUGGACCCAACCGGCUUUGGUUUUCACCUUGUACCAUCAUGUCCACCUUCUUCGCCAAAAUGGUCACUACGGUUGUCAAGGUAAUCAUCUAAUCCAAGUUUUGUGGAGGUUAGUAAAGAUGGUAGAAGAAUUUUUCUUCUGAAUAUAAUCGUAAUUUUCAAUUCCAUUUAGAUCGAAGAGAGGACUCGAUAGACUAUAUACCAGGAGUAAAAAAAAUCGAACCAAAAGACUUGCCGUCAAUUCUUCAAGAAAUCGAUGAGACCAGUCUUUUCAUCCAAGCAACUUUCCAUGUGCUUCAAGAUGUCAAGAGUGCGGAUUUUAUAUUGGCCAAUACGGUUCAAGAGCUUGAACAUGACACGAUCUCAAGUCUAAAACAAGCAUACAACGACCAAUUCUAUGCUAUCGGGCCUGUCUUCCCACCCGGGUUCACCAUAAGCCCGGUAAGCACUAGUUUGUGGCCGGAGUCGGACUGCACCCAGUGGUUAAACUCUAAGCCAAGUGGCUCUGUCCUCUAUGUCUCAUUCGGGAGCUAUGUCCACGUGACUAAGCCCGACCUCGUGGAGGUAGCAUGUGGGAUGGCCCUUAGUGGGAUAUGUUUUCUUUGGGUGUUGCGUGAUGAUAUUGUGAGCUCGGAAGAUCCGGACCCCUUGCCUGUUGGAUUCAGAAAAGAGGUUUCGGAUCGGGCGAUGAUUGUCGGGUGGUGUAGUCAGAAGGAAGUUCUAGCGCAUGAGGCGAUCGGAGGGUUCCUAACUCACUGUGGGUGGAACUCGGUGCUGGAGAGCACUUGGUGUGGAGUGCCAAUGCUGUGUUUUCCUUUGUUUGUGGAUCAGUUCACGAACCAAAAGCUAGUGGUGGAUGAUUGGAAGGUUGGGAUUAACCUUGUUGACCAGACGAUUGUGACGAAAGAAGAAGUAUCGAAGAAUGCCACUCGUUUAAUGGUUGGAAAAUCGAGAGACGAGCUCAAGGAAAGAAUCAAAGAGGUGAACAGAAUCUUGGUGGAUGCACUCGAGCCUAAUGGAUCGUCCAAACAGAAUUUGGUCCGAUUCAUUAGAGAACUCAAAGACAUGAUUAUAUAUAGACACCAGUGAAUGGACCAUUGGAUUGAGUUGGUUAUAAAGUAUGGUAGCUGCAAAUCAAUUAUUAGGAUGUUUGAAAUUCGUGGGCCAUCUUUGUCAAAAGGAAAACCUUGUGGGCCAGCUGGAUUCAUUAUUUUGAUGUGGAUGAUUGAUUAACCAAGUAGAUAUAAUAUUCUAUUCUAGUACUCCAAUUUUUAACUCAUUCAUCAUUGAUCACUCUAUCACAUUAAACUUAGGGAAUGUGCUAUUUGAACAAUUAAAAAAAUGAAUCGUCAUCUAUAUUUUUACUAAUUUAAUGAUAUAAACUAAAAGUGUAAUACUUUUUGCCAAUUGCUAUAUAUUUGACUCAUUUAUUAUUGAUUUUUAGUUGUUUGAGUCGUAGUCAUGGUGUUGAGAGCGGACGUAAUAAAUUAUGGUGGAAGAUGAUAAUUUUAUCAAAAAUUAUUAGGAUUUACGGAUGGAAGAAACUUUUCAGGGGAGUAUAAAUUUUUUUCCGAAAGAAAAUAACUAAGACAAUACUGAAAAUUCAAAUUGAAAUAAUUUAGAGCGAUUAAGAUUGGUGAUUAAUAUAGCCAUGAACGAAGACAAAAAUUAAAUAAUUUUUUUUGACAUGAUCAUGGAUCAACUUUAUCCAUUCAUCCUUCAUAUAUAUCCACAAAAAUGAAAAAUCCUUCUAAACAAAACAUAAUCACACAAAGCAAAUCAUGGCGGAUGAGACACACGGCGGCGGCGCAUACGCCAUCGUGGUCACUUUCCCGCUUCAAGGCCAUGUCAUCCCCGCCGUCCACCUCGCCGUCAAGCUCGCCUCCCAAGGUUUCACUAUCACCUUUGUCAACACCCACUACAUCCACCACAAGAUCACCUCGUCAUCGGUCGUCGCUGCCGCCGGCGACGAUAUUUUUCUGCGUCCGGGAAUCGGGGUCGGACAUAAGGUACAAAACCAUUUCGGAUGGGAAACCAUGACGAAUUCUUGGCUUCGAUUAUGCACGUGUUCCCUGCCCACGUGGAGGAGUUGGUAGCCGGGAUGGUUGCCGCCGGUGAGGAAGAGGAGGUGGAGAAGGUUAGUUGUUUGGUGGCCGACACUUUCUUCGUGUGGCCGUCGAAGGUUGCAAAGAAGUUCAGGUUGGUUUACGUUUCGGUUUGGACCCAACCGGUUUGGUUUUCACCUUGCACCAUCAUGUCCACCUUCUUCGCCAAAAUGGUCACUUUGGUUGUCGAGGUAAUUUAUCUAUUCCAAGUUUUUACUUUGUAGAGGUUAGGAAAGAUGGUAAAUGAGUGUUAUGAACUUAAUCAUGGUUUUGAUUACUUUUAGAUCG
rnacentral:lncRNA from 1 species